AAGCCAUACUGACAGAGAUCCACGGCGUACAGCCUCUGAGCAUAGUUAAUGGGCCCCAAAGCCACUGUGGCUCACUAUUCCUCUCCUACCCUACAGGAGGUAGAUUGGGAAGUGGAGCUGGCCGUGGUCAUUGGAAAGAAAGGCAAGCACAUCAAGGUGAAGUGGAAAGGGUGGGCUCCCAGGCCAGAGUGCAGCAGAGUCCCCAGCUCCUGCCUCUCCUAGUUCUGACCUCGCUCACCAACACAUGGUGCCAGCUGUCCCUGACACUAGGAAGCAGUCAGCCUCCUUGCUCCCUGAAACUGCCUUUCCCUUCACCCACCUUUGGCUGGCUCUGGCUACUAACAUGGGAUAACAGCUUUGAGAUCCCUUGCCACAGGUGUUGGUGUCACCCAUGAUCUAUCCUCCUGUAUGGCCAAAUCCCCUGCCCCCAUAGGCCACAGAUGCCAUGGCCCACAUGGCCGGCUUCACUGUGGCUCAUGAUGUGAGUGCUCGUGACUGCCUAACAAGACGCAAUGGGAAACAGUGGCUGCUGGGAAAAACCUUCGACACCUUCUGCCCUCUGGGCCCUGCCUUGGUGACCAAGGACAGUGUAGCAGAUCCACACAACUUAAAGAUCUGCUGCCGAGUGAAUGGGGAAGUGGUCCAGAGCAGCACCACCAACCAGAUGGUAUUCAAGACAGAGGACCUGAUAGCCUGGGUGUCCCAGUGAAUGACAGGGGCUAUCCUGCCAGGCCCGCUCCCCCCUGCCACACAUGUGGAGGUUGCCCUGAGCCCUCCACCUUUGGCUGUGGCCACCUCAGCCAGCCCCUGGUCUCACCGGGUCCUUUUGCUUUGCUCCAGGUCUCUGAAGGUCCAGACAGCACUGAUGGCGAGCUUUGGGUCCGCACACUCUGGAAAGAAGAGAGAAGUGAAGGCUCUAGGUAGGGAGGACAGAGAGCCACUGGGCACAGGCUUCUCUCCUCUUGUUUAAAGAAGCCCAGGGAGGGAUAGAGCUCUGACUGGACAGAAGACUGUCUGUACUCUGCAGCCUGCCUUCCUAGAGUUGGGUUGUCACUGUCCUGCAGGGGGCAGCAGCCACCAGCAAACACCACUGCCUGCAGAAGCCUGGGCUGACUGGUUGGGACUCACCGAAGAUCCCUUCUUCCUGGGCGGUGGCCUGCAGGAACUGGAACAGCUGCUCUGUGUAGCCCAACUCUGCAGAAGAGAGAAGACCUAGACCUGGCACCCAGCACAGACACAGCCUGCCUCGAGGACUGCAAGGGAACAAGGGCCUCACCAGUAUCGGGCAGCUGGCCCUGGCGGAGGAAGGCGGCAGCCUGUGCAAAGGCCUUGAGCAGCGGGCUGAGCAGGCGGCAGAGGAAAAGAAAGAAAUCUGGGCAGUGUGACUGCUGGCUGAGCUGGAGGGGACAGGCCGGGGUGAGUGCAGCUCCCCACCGCCUCCCUACCACCUCCCUCCAGGGGCAGCUUUUUGAAACACACCCUGAAGUACCGGCCCUCAGCCUCUUCGAAGUCAUCACUGUCACUAUCAGUAAAGUCCCCACUCG
rnacentral:lncRNA from 1 species